AGAGUUUGAUCAUGGCUCAGAUUGAACGCUGGCGGCAGGCCUAACACAUGCAAGUCGAGCGGUAGCACAGAGAGCUUGCUCUCGGGUGACGAGCGGCGGACGGGUGAGUAAUGUCUGGGAAACUGCCUGAUGGAGGGGGAUAACUACUGGAAACGGUAGCUAAUACCGCAUAAUGUCGCAAGACCAAAGUGGGGGACCUUCGGGCCUCAUGCCAUCAGAUGUGCCCAGAUGGGAUUAGCUAGUAGGUGGGGUAACGGCUCACCUAGGCGACGAUCCCUAGCUGGUCUGAGAGGAUGACCAGCCACACUGGAACUGAGACACGGUCCAGACUCCUACGGGAGGCAGCAGUGGGGAAUAUUGCACAAUGGGCGCAAGCCUGAUGCAGCCAUGCCGCGUGUGUGAAGAAGGCCUUCGGGUUGUAAAGCACUUUCAGCGGGGAGGAAGGCGAUAAGGUUAAUAACCUUGUCGAUUGACGUUACCCGCAGAAGAAGCACCGGCUAACUCCGUGCCAGCAGCCGCGGUAAUACGGAGGGUGCAAGCGUUAAUCGGAAUUACUGGGCGUAAAGCGCACGCAGGCGGUCUGUCAAGUCGGAUGUGAAAUCCCCGGGCUCAACCUGGGAACUGCAUUCGAAACUGGCAGGCUAGAGUCUUGUAGAGGGGGGUAGAAUUCCAGGUGUAGCGGUGAAAUGCGUAGAGAUCUGGAGGAAUACCGGUGGCGAAGGCGGCCCCCUGGACAAAGACUGACGCUCAGGUGCGAAAGCGUGGGGAGCAAACAGGAUUAGAUACCCUGGUAGUCCACGCCGUAAACGAUGUCGAUUUGGAGGUUGUGCCCUUGAGGCGUGGCUUCCGGAGCUAACGCGUUAAAUCGACCGCCUGGGGAGUACGGCCGCAAGGUUAAAACUCAAAUGAAUUGACGGGGGCCCGCACAAGCGGUGGAGCAUGUGGUUUAAUUCGAUGCAACGCGAAGAACCUUACCUGGUCUUGACAUCCACAGAACUUNNNNNNNNNNNNNNNNNNNNNNNNNNNNNNNNNNNNNNGGCCGGGAACUCAAAGGAGACUGCCAGUGAUAAACUGGAGGAAGGUGGGGAUGACGUCAAGUCAUCAUGGCCCUUACGACCAGGGCUACACACGUGCUACAAUGGCAUAUACAAAGAGAAGCGACCUCGCGAGAGCAAGCGGACCUCAUAAAGUAUGUCGUAGUCCGGAUUGGAGUCUGCAACUCGACUCCAUGAAGUCGGAAUCGCUAGUAAUCGUAGAUCAGAAUGCUACGGUGAAUACGUUCCCGGGCCUUGUACACACCGCCCGUCACACCAUGGGAGUGGGUUGCAAAAGAAGUAGGUAGCUUAACCUUCGGGAGGGCGCUUACCACUUUGUGAUUCAUGACUGGGGUGAAGUCGUAACAAGGUAACCGUAGGGGAACCUGCGGUUGGAUCACCU
rnacentral:rRNA from 1 species